rnacentral:lncRNA from 1 species
AGGUGCUCAGACACGUCCAAGGUCAGGAGAAGAAAGAAGAGAUGGCGAAGAAAGAAGCCUCAUGUCGAAAUGCUACGGAUUUUACAGAGAGGACGCUUUUGCCACUAACCACUGACCCAUUAAAGGGCGCAUUCCAGUUUUCAAGAUGUCUGAACUUGCUUUGUCUUCAUCGAUGUAAUAUGGCUAGACAGUGACUUUAACCACCGCUGGAAAGGACAUUAGUAGCAUCCUCCACCAAAGACCUCAGAUUCGGGUUCGCCAGUACCCGAUCGAGAGCCACGAUUGUCUCGCUUGCCGACGUUUGUCAUCU